AGUGAACGCUGGCGGCGUGCCUAAUACAUGCAAGUCGAGCGAAUGAAUGGGAGCUUGCUCCCUGACAUUAGCGGCGGACGGGUGAGUAACACGUGGGCAACCUGCCCUGCAGAUGGGGAUAACUCCGGGAAACCGGGGCUAAUACCGAAUAAUCAGUUCCUCCGCAUGGAGGAAUUCUGAAAGACGGCUUCGGCUGUCACUGCAGGAUGGGCCCGCGGCGCAUUAGCUAGUUGGUGGGGUAACGGCCUACCAAGGCGACGAUGCGUAGCCGACCUGAGAGGGUGAUCGGCCACACUGGGACUGAGACACGGCCCAGACUCCUACGGGUGGCU
rnacentral:rRNA from 1 species